rnacentral:rRNA from 1 species
GUGAACGCUGGCGGCGUGCCUCAGACAUGCAAGUCGCACGUGAAAGUCCUUCGGGAUGAGUAAAGUGGCGCACGGGUGAGUAAUACUUAGGUAAACGUACCUUUUCGCUGGGGAUAACUACGGGAAACUGUAGCUAAUACCGAAUAAUUCUAUGGAGACUGCGGUCGAGAUAGACAAAGCCGUAAGGCGCGGAGAGAUCGGCCUGAGCCUGAUUAGCUAGUUGGUGAGGGUAAUGGCUCACCAAGGCUACGAUCGGUAGCUGGUCUAAGAGGAUGAUCAGCCACACUGGGUACUGGAACACGGACCAGACUCCUACGGGAGGCAGCAGUUAGGAAUUUUGCGCAAUGGGGGAAACCCUGACGCAGCAACGCCGCGUGAAGGAUGAAGGCCUUCGGGUUGUAAACUUCUUUCGACAGGGAAAAAAACAAAUGAUGGUACCUGGAGAAGAAGCACCGGCUAACUACGUGCCGGCAGCCGCGGUAAUACGUAGUGGUGCAAGCGGUUACUCGGAUUUAUUGGCCGUAAAAGCGCAUGUAGGCGGUUUUGUAAGUCUGAUGUGAAAUCCCUGGACUCAAUUCAGGAACUGCAUUGGAUACUGCAAGGCUAGAGUAUGAGAGAGGUAGGCGGAAUUCUUGGUGUAGAGGUGAAAUUCGUAGAUAUCAAGAGGAACAACAGAAGCGAAGGCGGCUUACUGGAUCAUUACUGACGCUGAGAUGCGACAGUGUGGGGAGCAAACAGGAUUAGAUACCCUGGUAGUCCACACCGUAAACGAUGGAUACUAGAUGUCGGAAGUUCUUACCCUUUCGGUGUCGUAGCUAACGCGUUAAGUAUCCCGCCUGGGGAGUACGGUCGCAAGAUUAAAACUCAAAGAAAUUGACGGGGGCCCGCACAAGCGGUGGAUUAUGUGGUUUAAUUCGAUGCAACGCGCAAAACCUUACCUAGGCUUGCACAUCCCGCGCAUAGCUAUGAAAGUAGUGAAAUCCCUUCGGGGACGCGGAGACAGGUGCUGCAUGGCUGUCGUCAGCUCGUGUCGUGAGAUGUUGGGUUAAGUCCCGCAACGAGCGCAACCCUUGUUGUUAGUUGCCAGCAUAAGUUGGGCACUCUAGCAAGACCGCUUGCCGAUAAGGCAGAGGAAGGUGGGGAUGACGUCAAGUCCGCAUGGCCCUUACGCCUAGGGCUACACACGUAAUACAAUGGUCGGUACAGAGGGCUGCAAUGCCGCAAGGUGGAGCUAAUCCCAGAAAACCGAUCUCAGUUCGGAUUGCUCUCUGCAACUCGAGAGCAUGAAGUCGGAAUCGCUAGUAAUCGCGGAUAAGUAUGCCGCGGUGAAUACGUUCCCGGGCCUUGUACACACCGCCCGUCACGCCAUGGGAGUUGGUGUUGCCUGAAAAGAUUGAGCUAACCGCAAGGAGGCAGGUCUUAAUGGUGAUACCGAUGACUGGGGUG